ACAGGCUCCAGGCUCUGAGCCAUCAGCCCAGAGCCCGACGCGGGGCUCGAACUCACGGCCCGUGAGAUCGUGACCUGGCUGAAGUCGGACGCUUAACCGACUGCGCCACCCAGGCGCCCCUGAAGUCUCUCUUUUAAGGUCCCCUGACGGUUGCCUUGCAUGGAUUCCUCUGAAAAAACAGAUAUUUCCAGUCCCAACUUCUCUCUCAAUGCCAGUCUGACAUUUCCAAUCAAUUGUGAAAUGCCCACCUGUGUGAUUGCAGAUGUGUCAAACCGGGCAUUUCUAAAAAUCAAAAACUCGUCUUCUCCCUGUAAGUAGACCUAUCCUCACACUGCCAUGCCAGAGGGCAACCCGCGCCCUGACUCCCCUGCAGACUGCAGAAAAAGGACUUGCUAAGUCUCAAGAACACAGGGCAGAGAAAACAAAGCCUGAUCCAAGGCAGAGGGUUGCAAUUAGCCCCACAAAGUGCAUUAGGAACAUCAAGGGGGGGCCGGGAGACAGAGGUGUCUGACAGAGGAGAAAGUUGAUAAGGGAGGUGCAUCUGGACACUUACUACUGUAACUUCUGCUAACAGUGUGGCGACUCCCUCAGGUAACACAUGUCGUGGUAAGCCUAUGGACUUGUGACCAUGUGCUGAGCACUAUUCGAAGCGCUUAACUACGUAUUAACUCACUUAAUUCCUACAACCCCACAAGGUGGAUGGGUAAACCAAGGCACGGGAAGCUGCUCCUUAGCCUGUGGUCAAACAGUUAACGGUGGCAGAGUUGGGUUUGAACCCAGGUGGCCUAGCCCAGCAUUUUUGUUCUUGACCAUUAGCUGUUCUGCUUCUCCGUCACCUUCUCAGAUCCUUUCAACAAGUCCUAUUGUUGUUACAGAAACUUCCUAUGUUCUGAAGUUGAAAAUAAUUUUGAAUCACGAUUCUCUCAGUUAUUAACUAUAAUGCCCUUUUUUGUGUUAUCAGGAGGUUAAAUAUGCCUCCUAUGUCUCCGUGGCACUUGCACAGAAAGCCUCUGGGAUAAUCAGGACUCUGUGGCCACAGUCACCUGCUGAACUGCUGGACCAGCCCCACAGAGCUCUGCUGGUGCCCUUCCUCUCCCUCGGGUGCCCGUGAGUUCCCUCAGCCUCUCCCGUCGCCCUCACGCUUAUGUGGCCGGAUCCUCCUUGAAAAUCCAAUAUUUAGAACAGUUGAAGCCUACUUGGUCACGUAGAACAGAAGAGGAACCGUUCUUUGAAAGAAACCCAAAACAGGACUCUUGACAAAGAGCAAAUACAUUAACAUGUGUGUCAGAAAAGAAAUGUGAGAGAUUCUCGGCUGCCACAUGUGGCAAUGAAAUCAUCCCUCUGAGCGCGUCGUCAUGCACAAUCUGAGUUCUUUGCUCGCUUUGUAAGGGACAAGAACCAGCACACGAACAGAAGAGACGUAUGGAACACCCUCCGGUCAUCGUGCGUCUAUGGGUGUGACGUUGGGGGAGGGGCUGUGGGAAAACGAGGCCACUGGCAGGAGCUGCGCAGGCGGGAGGCGUGUCUGAAGGCCCAAGCCCCGCGGUCCGGAGCCGCACAGCCGGGAGGAGGUGCCCAGCAUCGCACACCACCCGCGUGGUGAUGAGAAUCAUCGUCCUUCCCUUUGCACCUGCCCUUUGCCUGGCUCAGCGUGGCUUCCUGGGGACAGGUGUGUGUCCCGAAGCAGUAAGAGGCAGCUGGUGUCUGGGGGCCCUUUUAGAGGAGAGUCGGAAAAGCCACCUGCAGCAAAGGCAGGUCACCAAUUCUUGAGCUGAUUUCCACCGUGUUUGAAGAUGUCUGGUGACUCGGGCUCCUCAGAGGGUGAGCCUCGUGGCAGAAGUAAGCCUUGGCUGUGGCGAAGGACCCUCAAGGGUGCCCUGCGGUGCUUUCUGGCGACUUCGGCCAGUUGGGGUCCGUCACGGCAACAGGCUGUCUUCCAUGCCUGUUGUGCGGAAUUGGUCUUCUCUGUUGUACUUUCUUGUUGCUGUGAUUCUCACAGACGAAAAGUACGUUUUGCAGCAGAAUCUGUGCCUGGGGAAUGUGAUCAAACUUCUUGCCUAAAAGGAGCCUUUGUGUGGGUGUUCGUACUUCGCCUUGCGUAGCUGUGCGGUAUCAGUGUUAGGACCCUGCCCGUCCGUGAACACUUCUGAUCCACUGUCCACAGGCCGGUGGCUUGGCGCAAGCCUGCUGUGCGGUCACCUUUCGCUCACUGAGUCACCAUCACGGGACCUUGACCACCUACCUGCCCCUCCCGUGCACCUCGUGCAGUGCUUCGUGAUGGGGCUGCCGUUUGCUGUUCCGGACGGGCCGGCCACACCUUCACGCAGCGGGACGUGUCCACCCUGUGGUGCGGAGCCGCCUCCUUCCUCCUGCGCUCCAACCUCACCACCCACAGUGUUUGCCCUACGAGUUCCUUCUUUCAAGGAACGGUCGGUUAGGUUCGUCUUUCGGAGUCUGGGGCUGUUACGGCACCGGUGGCCGGCGGAGGCCUGGCUUAACCUGACGGCCCAAGGACUCUCUGCAGCAACUCACUACUCAUCCUCAUCCGGAGAACAUCUGGUUCUGUGCUACAACUUCCCAGCUAGAAGUCACUUGUUCACACGUUUCAGAUACGAAAUGUAAAAACCAAGACCCUUAUUAGGAUGUGCUACGGCACAGCGAUUGUGGCCCAUUGUGUCGGAGUCUCGAAAACGGCCACAGGGUAUGUCUGGGGAUACCCAGGAGCCCCCGUCCUGUGUGGGAGCGGCAUUCCCAAACUUUUGGGGAACGCGGCCUGAGAAGGCUCGUAAAGCUGCAGACCGUCCGUGAAUGCGGGGAGAGUCAGAAUGCCUUCUCGGCCUUUCUGACGGAGGCCGAGGGAGCCAGAAGGGAGCACAGAUUCAAGAUGCGGCUGCCACAACCCGGUGUUAGAAACACAUUUGCCCACAGUGUCAACCCCACACGUCACCAGCACCGCUUUGUAGUGAGGUAUGCAUUGUCAUCUGCCGUCUUGGUUUUGGCCACAAUUCGCCUCCCUGUGGAAGUGAUGUGCUGUAAGAGAAUCCGAAAAACCAAAACGCGGAGCCCCACCAGACUCCAGGCAGUGGACCAGAUCUGGACGACGAGUGGAAAUACUUUGUGGUGCCCCAGUGUGAAUAAUAGGACACGAAUCACAGAGGGUUGUGUCUUUCCACCUGCACGCAUCCGCUGCUUGCCUGAGGCAACGGGAGAUCAUGUGUUGCUUGUGAGCACCCAGUGGUUCAGAUCCAGCCCCUAUGACCUCUGGGGGGCUCUCCACGCUGGUGUGAGAAUGACAGCACCUGUAAGUAGGGUGUGAGCUGAUGGAAAGCAGUGUGCUGUGACCACAGCCCAGGACACACGUUACAGGUGACCAGAGGCAAUUGUUCGAAUUUCUCAGCAAGGCCCCUGGUGCAGCCAGCCGGUCCAGCUAACGUCACCCUCCUGAGACCCAGGUCUCGAGGGUUGUUCCCACCCCGUGCUCCCCAGUGGAGCCCGAAGGCCAGCCUGCGGCCGGCGCCCCUGACCCCUUGCAGUCAGGAACCUCCUUCUGAGCACCAGGGCGUCGGCUCUUCUGGCCUUGACCUGUGAGGCUCUCCUACCAGCAGGCUACGCAGCCUCCUCGCGACAACAGAAUCACUGUGGAUGACGUCCACUCACCCACAACUGAAACUCGCGCUACCAGGAAGAGCCUCGGGGCUUGGUGGCUGGCCAGUAGACUGCAUAAAUACAAGACUCCACGUGGCUCGGCUUCACGCCAAAUGUCAGAAAGGGAAGGCCAGUGUGCCCCCCAACUCUUGGGCUUGGGGAGCGUGCAUGGAGUGAGACCAAGAGGGCAAUGAGUGAAGGCGGUGUGGAACAGGAUGGUCUUUCCCUUCUGUGUGACUCCUGCCGAGACCCACACGGCGGAUGGCGAGUCCCCGAGGGUGGAGCGCCUGGGAGCCACCUCUCAGCCGGAUGCGGGGCUGGUGUCCCUUCCACCCUCCAGAGGAGAGCCAGACGGCCACAUUCAUUCCUCUUGCUACACUCUUGCUCAAGGUCAGCACGAGGGGCCGCGAAUGCCGCUCACUUGUGUGGGGAGGUGGGCGCCCUUGGCCGCCGGGUGAGUGGAAACUCUCCUCGGAUCGGCUGUGGCCACGGCCACGCUAGGAUCCCACCCUCGCCCACACUUUUGACGGGGCGACUUUUGAUUGCUGCAUUAGGCAACGCUUUGUGGUAAACAUCAGGGUUGUCAUCAGGAAGCGUGCCACGUUAUGCUUAUGACUUUAAACAACCCAGUUUUCAAAACUACUUUGGAAUCUGAGUGAACGUGAACUAGUCCACGUCUCCGAGGUGACCUGGUGCCAAACACUUCUCCGGGUUGGAGACACUUCCCAAGCUUCCCUGUGGGCCUGUUCUUUGGACUCUUGUCAGCAGCUCCCCCAACUCUGCUGAUGAGGUUUCUGAUAUCGUUGGACUGUUCCAGAACAUUCCAUCUCAGAAACGCUGGCAAGCCUCCUGGCACCGAGAAAGAUGCUGCUUGUGAGUGACUGUCAGCCUCGGCUCUGCAUCUGGAGAACCUGGUUACCUUGGGGUCUGUCCCCCUAAAACCCCUCCAGACUCUUUUCUGCAGCCACCUUGAAUCUCAUUCCACCCAGUGCUCACUGCACAGAAAUCAGACUCUGAACUUGCCAGGCUCCUGAGUCUGGGUGGAGUCUGGAGAUGGGCCGGGUCUGGGUUUCCCAUUCUGCAGAGCCCGCCGGACUCGCCUCGCCCAGGCAGUGCUGCGCCCCAAAGCCUCUUCCAGGCCUGGCGCCCUCCCCCAGCUCCCCCAUCCUACGGCAGGUGCUGCCCGGCAGAGUUGUGGCUGCCGGGGACCGAGCAGGGGGACACGGAGCCGGCACCCAGGCGGCCGCUCCCGGAAGCUGGCAGAAGCAUGCUGCUGCCCGUGUAGACGCCUCCUGGCAUGGAAGGGCUGGGCCAGCGCCGGAGAUGGGAGUUCACGCCUCUGUGCGGGUGCUUAACCUUUCCUGCCUGUUGACUUAGGAGCGAAGCCAGUCAGGAAAUAGGCCCGAGAGCCAGAGGGCACGCAGCCCACGUCAACUCAGUACCGACGGAGCACCCAUUGUGCUCACCCCUGACAUCCUGCACUGCGCAAAUGUCCCCAGCAGCAGGGGACUUGGGCCACAGAGUGAAAACCCGCAGCGGUGUGAGUCUGUGUUCUCCACAUCUCAUACCUGCCAAUACCUAUAUUUUCAGAGUAGAUUUUUGAAGAGCAAACAACCGUGUAUCACAGAGUAAGAUGUACACCCCAACCCAAGGAUCUUAGAGCAAACACGGUGAGUGAAAUAAGGAAGUUACAGGCAGGGCACGAAGGGCGGUCUCCAGAAGAGGGGGCUCAGGCGGGGUGGGACCUGGGCGAGGGGUCCCAGACACCUCCCCGCACGGUUCCUGGCAGCGGCUGGGCUGUGACGAUGGUGCUCUCACUGGCUGGUCUCACACGGCUGCGUUUUAAUUCUGACGUCCAGGCCGCCACCCACCAAAACUGGAGCAGAGUUGGUUAUAUAUAUAUAUAUAUAUAUGUUUUUUUUUUUUUUUAGUUUAUUUUGAGACAGAGAGAA